GACGAACGCUGGCGGCGUGCUUAACACAUGCAAGUCGAACGAAGUGGGAACGGGUGAGUAAUACGUGGGUAACCUCCCUCCUUUUUGGGAUAAGCCUUGGAAACGGGGUCUAAACCGAAUAGAUGGGCUCGCGGCCUAUCAGCUUGGUGGUGGGGUGAUGGCCUACCAAGGCGGUGACGGGUAGCCGGCCUGAGAGGAUGAACGGCCAAAUUGGGACUGAGACACGGCCCAGACUCCCACGGGAGGCAGCAGGGGGGAAUCUUCCGAAAUGGACGAAAGUCUGACGGAGCAACGCCGGGGGAGUGAGGACGGCCUUCGGGUUGGAAAGCUCUGUUAAUCGGGACGCGGUACCGGAAUAGAAAGCCACGGCUAACUACGUGCCAGCAGCCGCGGUAAUUC
rnacentral:rRNA from 1 species